GUCGUGGUGGAGCAGGAGGGGCAUUUCACUUCUGGAGACCAGGGAGCCUCAGCGUCAGAACAGGAGGGCAGAGUACACUCUGCGACCAGGAAGUAAACCACCUUCCUCCUGGCCCAGCGAACGCAUGCAAGGCAAGCAGCGGUCCCUCCCGUGGCUCGUUCCUAGGAAAUCAGAGGCAGACAGGAACACGAGUCUUCCAAAUGUCUUAUCAGGGAGCAUCAAAACGUCUCUCUUGCAGAUGUGGAUGGGUCUGAGCUCUUCACCACUACACCCAGCCAGCUUCUUCAACUGAGAAAAACAAAUGCAUCUGAUAAAGGGAGUCAAAGACAUCACCCUUCUUCCUCCAAGGGCUGAAGAAAGCAGCCCUUAUUGACUGGCUUCUAUCACUCAUCUGAUUAAAGGUGGGAUGACUGGCAUGAAUGCCAAUUUGAGCUUCAAGAUGGACACUCUGGGAUGCUUCUGUCCAUACCAUUUUUCGAGGGAGGGGAGCUGCUUUUCCUGAUUGAAAGAUGUGGCCGUUGGCAGAGACAGGACAACACUUCAGAUGCCUGGUAGCAGCCAGUACAGACAAAAGCUUCAUGGAGUUGCCUCUCUCUCUCCAGUUGUCUUCCUAGUUCCAUAAAACUAGAUUCCCAAAUGCCAUGUAAAGAAGUUUUCAAGUACUUAUCAGCGUGGAUCUUCCAGAUUGUUCAGUCAAGAAUGAGCCCAGGGAACUUCCCUGGUGGUCCAGUGGGUAAGACUCGGCACUCCCAAUGCAGGGGGCCCGGGCUUGAUCCCUGGUCGGGGAACUAGAUCCCGCAUGCAUGCUGCAACUAAGAAGCCUGCGUGCCGCAACUACGAGAAGUCUGCAUGCCACAACUAAGAAGUCUGCGUGCUGCUACUAAAGAUCCCGCAUGCCGCCACAAAGAUCCAGU